AACGUAGGAGACAAACGUUAUCCGGAGUUACUGGGCGUAAAGGGCGUGUAGGUGGUUUCGUAAGUCUGGCGUGAAAUUUUUCGGCUUAACCGGGAAAGGUCGUCGGAUACUGCGGAACUAGAGGACGGUAGAGGCGUGUGGAACUCCAGGUGUAGUAGUGAAAUGCGUAGAUAUCUGGAAGAACACCAAUGGCGAAGGCAAUGUUCUGGCUCGUUUCUGACGCUCAGGUGCGAAAGCCAGGGGAGCGAACGGG
rnacentral:rRNA from 1 species